rnacentral:rRNA from 1 species
GAAGAUGUAACGGGGCUAAGCAAUACACCGAAGCUGCGGCAAUAUCUUUUAGAUAUUGGGUAGGGGAGCGUUCUGUAAGCCGUUGAAGGUGAAUCGUAAGGUUUGCUGGAGGUAUCAGAAGUGCGAAUGCUGACAUGAGUAACGACAAGGGGGGUGAAAAACCUCCCCGCCGGAAGACCAAGGGUUCCUGUCCAACGUUAAUCGGGGCAGGGUGAGUCGACCCCUAAGGCGAGGCCGAAAGGCGUAAUCGAUGGGAAACGGGUUAAUAUUCCCGUACUUCUUACAAUUGCGAUGGGGGGACGGAGAAGGCUAGGUGGGCCAGGCGACGGUUGUCCUGGUUCAAGUGCGUAGGCUUAAGAGUUAGGUAAAUCCGGCUCUUUCUAAGGCUGAGACACGACGUCGAGCUACUACGGUAGUGAAGUCAUUGAUGCCAUGCUUCCAGGAAAAGCCUCUAAGCUUCAGAUUGUAAGGAAUCGUACCCCAAACCGACACAGGUGGUCGGGUAGAGAAUACCAAGGCGCUUGAGAGAACUCGGGUGAAGGAACUAGGCAAAAUGGUACCGUAACUUCGGGAGAAGGUACGCUCUUGAUGGUGAAGUCCCUCGCGGAUGGAGCUGACGAGAGUCGCAGAUACCAGGUGGCUGCAACUGUUUAUUAAAAACACAGCACUGUGCAAAAUCGCAAGAUGACGUAUACGGUGUGACGCCUGCCCGGUGCCGGAAGGUUAAUUGAUGGGGUUAGCGCAAGCGAAGCUCUUGAUCGAAGCCCCGGUAAACGGCGGCCGUAACUAUAACGGUCCUAAGGUAGCGAAAUUCCUUGUCGGGUAAGUUCCGACCUGCACGAAUGGCGUAAUGAUGGCCACGCUGUCUCCACCCGAGACUCAGUGAAAUUGAAAUCGCUGUGAAGAUGCAGUGUACCCGCGGCUAGACGGAAAGACCCCGUGAACCUUUACUACAGCUUGGCACUGAACAUUGAACCUACAUGUGUAGGAUAGGUGGGAGGCUAUGAAGACGUGACGCCAGUUGCGUUGGAGCCAUCCUUGAAAUACCACCCUUGUAUGUUUGAUGUUCUAACUUAGACCCGUUAUCCGGGUUGAGGACAGUGCCUGGUGGGUAGUUUGACUGGGGCGGUCUCCUCCCAAAGAGUAACGGAGGAGCACGAAGGUGGGCUAAUCACGGUUGGACAUCGUGAGGUUAGUGCAAUGGCAUAAGCCCGCUUAACUGCGAGAAUGACGGUUCGAGCAGGUGCGAAAGCAGGUCAUAGUGAUCCGGUGGUUCUGUAUGGAAGGGCCAUCGCUCAACGGAUAAAAGGUACUCCGGGGAUAACAGGCUGAUACCGCCCAAGAGUUCAUAUCGACGGCGGUGUUUGGCACCUCGAUGUCGGCUCAUCACAUCCUGGGGCUGAAGUCGGUCCCAAGGGUAUGGCUGUUCGCCAUUUAAAGUGGUACGCGAGCUGGGUUUAGAACGUCGUGAGACAGUUCGGUCCCUAUCUGCCGUGGGCGUUGGAAGAUUGAAGGGGGCUGCUCCUAGUACGAGAGGACCGGAGUGGACGAACCUCUGGUGUUCGGGUUGUGUCGCCAGACGCAUUGCCCGGUAGCUAAGUUCGGAAUUGAUAAGCGCUGAAAGCAUCUAAGCGCGAAGCGAGCCCUGAGAUGAGUCUUCCCUGAUACUUUAAGUAUCCUAAAGGGUUGUUCGAGACUAGAACGUUGAUAGGCAGGGUGUGUAAGCGUUGUGAGGCGUUGAGCUAACCUGUACUAAUUGCCCGUGAGGCUUAACCA